UACUAGAGUAGCACUCGCAUAUCAAUAAGCGGAGGAAAAGAAACUAACAAGGAUUCCCCUAGUAACGGCGAGUGAAGCGGGAAGAGCUCAAAUUUGAAAUCUUAAAGGGUUUCCCUUUACGAAUUGUAGUUUAAAGAAGUGUUUUCUGUUGAGGUUUUGGUAAAAGUUCUUUGGAAUAGGACAUCAUAGAGGGUGAGAAUCCCGUAUUUGACCUUUACUUUCAACUUUGUGAUACACUUUCGAAGAGUCGGAUUGUUUGGGAAUGCAGUCCAAAAUGGGUGGUAAAUUUCAUCUAAAGCUAAAUAUUGGCGAGAGACCGAUAGCGAACAAGUACCGUGAGGGAAAGAUGAAAAGAACUUUGAAAAGAGAGUUAAACAGUACGUGAAAUUGUCAAAAGGGAAGCGUUUGACACCAGUGUUGUUUUUCUGAAAAUCAAUUAAAGAACUGUUUAUGCUAAGCUUGUUUAGACUUUAUCAGCUAAUCUGUUUAGUUUUAGAGCUUUUCUUUAAUGCACUUUUCAGUUAACAAGUCAACAUCAAUUUCUUUUGCUGUAAAAAAGCUUGAGGAAGGUGGCUUGAGAUUCGUCUUAAGUGUUUAUAGCCUCUUGCCUAUGCAGUCGGAGAGAUUGAGGUCUGCAGCGUAGAUCCUUCGGGGCUAAAUGCAUUUGUGCUAAGUUAUAGCAUUUUAUAGACAACUUGUUGACUAUGAUUUGUCUUGUAGCUUACUCGCUUAUGUUAUUUUACCUACGCUUAGGAUGUUGAGCGCAUGUCUCUCUCU
rnacentral:rRNA from 1 species